GUAGGGAAUAUUGGACAAUGGACGCAAGUCUGAUCCAGCCAUGCCGCGUGUAGGAAGAAGGCCCUCUGGGUUGUAAACUACUUUUGUCGGGGAAUAAACCACCGCUAUACGCGGUGCUGAAGGUACCCGAAGAAUAAGCACCGGCUAACUCCGUGCCAGCAGCCGCGGUAAUACGGAGGGUGCAAGCGUUGUCCGGAUUCAUUGGGUUUAAAGGGUGCGUAGGCGGCCCUGUAAGUCAGCGGUGAAAUCCCAAGGCUCAACCUUGGAAUUGCCGUUGAUACUGCAGGGCUUGAGUCCGACCGAGGUCGUUGGAACGCGUAGUGUAGCGGUGAAAUGCUUAGAUAUUACGCAGAACACCGAUUGCGAAGGCAGAUGGCUAGGUCGGAACUGACGCUGAGGCACGAAAGUGCGGGGAUCAAACAGGAUUAGAUACCCCAGUAGUCC
rnacentral:rRNA from 1 species